CCUACGGGAGGCAGCAGUGAGGAAUAUUGGUCAAUGGACGAGAGCCUGAACCAGCCAAGUCGCGUGAAGGAUGACUGCCCUACGGGUUGUAAACCUCUUUUAUCAAGGAAUAAAACGCGCCACGUGUGCUUCUUCGCAUGUACUUUAUGAAUAAGCAUCGGCUAACUCCGUGCCAGCAGCCGCGGUAAUACGGAGGAUCCGAGCGUUAUCCGGAUUUAUUGGGUUUAAAGGGAGCGCAGAUGGGAUGGUCAAUUAGGUGGUAAAAUUUGCGGGCCAAACGUAAAAGUGCCAUUGAUACUGGCAGUCUAGAGUACAGUAGAAGUAGGCGGAAUGCGUGGUGUAGCGGUGAAAUGCUUAGAUAUCACGAAGAACCCCGAUUGCGAAGGCAGCAUACUGAACUGUAACUGACGUUGAUGCACGAAAGUGUGGGUAUCGAACAGGAUUAGAUACCCUAGUAGUC
rnacentral:rRNA from 1 species